UGACAGAUCACUUUGAAUUUUGAACAUGAAGUUGUUUCUUGGCAUUCUUAUUUUGUGUGCGAGGCAUUACUAUCUUUACAUUCUUGACAUGUCCAAUUCCUAAAACCUUCCUUGGCUUUAAUUAUUUUAAGGUCGAUGAUGUCCUCGAGACAAAGUUGGGACAAGAGUUUCAACUUGUUAUGGAUAAAGGAACGCUAGAUGCUAUUGGAUUGCAUCCUGAUGGUCCUGUCAAGAGAUUGGUUGCUCCUGGUGGAAUACUUGUAAGCACUUCUAAAUUUAUUCCAAGUUCUAGGCGUUUGUGGGUCGUGGCAUGAACUGUGCAUGCCUAUUACUUAGUGGGAUUCUUUUAUUCAUUAAAAAAGAAGUCAUUAUUAUUUUGAUCUUGAUGAUUUCUUCUUGUUUCACUUGCUGUCUUUCCCAAAUUCCUGAGUUCAUGAUAUAGUUGCAGCAGUUCUUGCUACUUUUGUUGUAAGGUGAUUACAUCUUGUAAUAGUACAAUAUAAUAGUUAUUAUUAAUUUUAAAUGAUUAAUAUAAUUAGUGAUAAUUUUAAACAA